UACAGGGGGGGCAAGCGUUGUCCGGAAUCAUUGGGCGUAAAGAGCGCGUAGGCGGUCCGGUAAGUCGGUUGUGAAAACUGGGGGCUCAACCCUCAGAGGCCGACCGAUACUGCUGGGCUAGAGUCCGGAAGAGGCGAGUGGAAUUCCUGGUGUAGCGGUGAAAUGCGCAGAUAUCAGGAGGAACACCGGUGGCGAAGGCGGCGUUCUGGACUGCAACUGACACUGAUAAACGAAAGCCAGGGUAGCAAACGGG
rnacentral:rRNA from 1 species